AAAAAAAAAAAAGAAAAAAGUAAAAGAGGAAAAUAGAAGAAGAAAAGAAAGGUACAAAAAACAAAAAAUAAACAAAAUAAAAAAAAUUAAAUUAGAAAAAAAGACUGCGCUUCUCCUCCCUUUUCAUAUUUAGUUAAAUUAAAAUGACCAAAAAUAGUUAAAAUUAUUAAAUCCGGUGAACCUACUAAUGAAUUUAAUAGAUUUAUAAAAUUUUUGAUAAAUUUUGUUUAAUCAAUUAAAUAUUUAGGAAGCCUCUAUACAUUUUCACCAUAAAAAAUUUUGAUAAAAAAAGGUGUACAGACCUCCUCAACUAUUAAACGCUUUGAAAUAGACAACUCCAAAUUAUUUUUUAACUAAUUUUAAUAAUUUUUAAUUUUUAUGCUUAAUUCUAAUUAAUUAAAUAAAAAUUGUUAAUAUUUAUAUAAAUUAAAAUAUUUAAAUUAUCUGAAAUACUACCUACCCGCCGCGAAGCGCGGGCCCUACACUAGUAUAUAUUAAUAUAUAUAGACACAGCUAAUUAAACACUUCUUCAUGCGUGCACGUCAUGGAUAUACACAUAUAGACACAGAUAUUAUUCUCUUAAACGCAUACAGUAGCCGUAUAUUCAUAGCUUUUUAACCGUCAGAUCUGCUUCAAGGUUCGUGUAGUUUUGCUGGUCAAUUUAUUAUAGUUAAUUUCUCCCAACCAAUUUUUCUGUCCCAGAUUCCAAAUUAAUUAUUGUAGAGCAUGCAUCCGCCUCCUCCUUCCCUCUGGCCGCCGCCCACCACCACCACCUCCUUUCUCCCCCAACUACCCCUUGCCUUCGGGAUGGGGCCGAGGGUGCUCCGACUCCGGCAUUCUCGUCACAUUUAACGUCGCUGUUGUCGGCAGGUCGACAUCGUCUCCCUCGGCGCCGGCAGCACCAUCGUGCCCUACCACCUCGACGCCAUCGCCGUGGAUGCCUUCUCCGCUGCUGAGAAAGUUGUUCUUCGUCUCCGCCUCUGUCGGGAACAGCGGCCCCGAUGAGCUCAUUGUCACCAAUGUUGCCUCGUGGGUCGCCAUCCUCAGGGUUUGGGGUGGCGACAGUGGUCGAGGUGGGUGCUACCGGUGCCGGAGGAUGAGGAUGAGGAGGGGUGCUGUACGAGGAUUAAUUGAUAAUUAGCCAGAGAAGUUAAUUAGAAAAGUUAAUUAGGGUGCAGAAGUUAAUUAUCUAAAAUUAAUUGGGAUAAAUUAGUCAUUAUAUAUGCACAGACCUUAAAGCAGAUCUAAUGGCCAAAAAUAGUUACGAGAACAAUAACUAUUUAAAAUUUAAAAUUUAUAAUUUAUAAUUUAAAUUUAAAAUUUAAAAUUUAAAAAAUUAAAGUUUAAAAUUUUUAAAUUUAAAUUAAAAAUUAAAAAUUUAAAUUUUAAAAUUUUAAAAUUUAAAAGUUGACAAUUUAAAAUUUUAAAUUAAAUUUUUUAAUAUGACGUACUGAAAGGGUUUCAAGAGCUAGAGGGAUAAAAUUGUUAUUUUACAUAAUAUGCAGUAUUACUGACUUUCAGUAAUCCAAGAUACACAUCACCUCUCGUUAAUAUUUUUUGUGUAAUUCUGCAUAAUUUGUAAUGCUAUAUUACCAACCUGAUUAUAUAUCGAAUGAACCAAAUACGAUAAUUCUCACAGGAUUGCAUGUAAUCCUGCCAGGAUAACCCGAACCAAACGCAUCCUAAGAGUAUAGUAGUAGCUGCACUAGAUAUAUAGAGAGAGAGAGUUGGACUAAAAUACUAUUAAUAGUGUUUGCCCAUUUUGAUCAUUUAUAGCCAUUGGAUUAAAUAUUAUAACCCAGUGAGUACCACUCAACUUUAAGAGAAUAAUAUCAUACAAACCCUACAAUUUCUCAUCCAAGGGUUAUAUAGUUAAGCGGAAAUACUAUCGGUAACAAUAUGCUAUGUUGCUAUCUAUUUAUUUUUUAUGACAGAGCCUCUAAAUCGACGAUCUGCACCGUUGAGCAUAAUCUAUAGCAUUUAAAAUAUCUAAAAAUCAGAUUUCACACUUUUUCGAUAUUGCUCUCUUAUCCAUCAAGUGGACACAAAAAUAAACGACUGGAAAUGAAUAUCCUCUAAAAAAUGAUGAUAGGAGUUUUGUAAUCAAGAUCGAACGUAUAGAUCUUGUUCUAAACAAUUUAAAAAAUUUUCUAACAAAAAUUCAAUUAAUUUGGAUAUUGCUAUACUAUUAAACGAGAAAACUCCUUAUAUCGGUAAUUAAAAUUAUAAAUUUUGAAACUCUUUGAUCAAUAGAUCAAUAAUGUCGAAAUAAUUUAAAAUUUGGUUUCUAAAUACUUCAAGUGGCAUAGAUCAUGUUCAAUAGUACCGUUCAUCGAUGUGGAGGUCCCAUCAUCAAAAAUAAAUGGGGGACAAUGAAACCCGUUUGCUACCGAUAGCAUUUCAGCUCGAACCCAAAAUUAUAUAUUUAAUAUCCAAAGUCCGGCCCAAACGUGGUCUAUCGGACUAGGCCAUAUUUAGGCCCGGGCCCAAUUCCACCCCUAGUUUUGAUGGCGAGCGGUGCACGGCCCGGGAUGGCGAGGGUUUUGAAGAAUCCGAAGUUUUAAUGGUGAGCAGUGCGUGGCUCCACGGUGGCUUCUGAUCGCCAGUGGCCGGUCUGGAGGGGGGCGAGGAGGAGAGGAGUAAAGAGGGCUAGGGCAUACUUUGAGCGAGAGUAGAGGCGAGUGUUUUUUGCACGAGUUUUUUUUUUAUCUUUUUAACGGAGCAUGCUUUUUUUUUGGCAAAUAAUACAGAAUUUACGAAUUAUUCGUCAAUAAUAGCUUUAAACUAAAAAAAUAUAAUUUAUUUCGAAUUUUUGAGAAAAAAAAAUAAAUACGAACUGUUUAAUUCAAUUACCAAUAAUUUGCGAAUUAACUAACUAAAUUCUAGCUUCUCUUAUUUUGUUUUUCUUAACUGUGAGAGAAAAACUAAUACAUAUAGCCUAAUAAAUUCCACAUCAGAAUAUCAUGCUUACUUAUCAUAUAAAACUCAUAGUAUGUUUUUAAUAAUUGUAUAUUGGACAAUUACUAAGUAUUCUAUUACUAAAGCAAAAUAUAAAAUUAUUGGCUAUUUUCCAAUUUUGAUCGCCUCUGCAAAUUUCGAUCAUCCCGUAUAUGUGUCCUGCCUUAGUAAGCAUCCAAAUAUAACAUUACCUUUUUAAUUGAGAGAGAGAAUAUACUUUACAUAGAUUUUUCUACUGAUUAACAACAACAAAAUAGAAGUUUUUUUUUUUUUGGUAAAUAUCUAUGGAUCUAUGAAGUUUGAAACCGAAAACUUCCUCACAUUAGUCCAUCACCUAAUAACCAGCCCAAGUGACUCCGGCAUCCACCCUUGCGUUGGCCUCUAUUCAUGUACUCGUAGUACAGCUUAUCCUGGUCCCGGUUCCCAGGCCACUCAGUCUGCCCGGCCGGAUCCACGAGGCCAUCGAUGUACACCAUCCUCGAAUACAGCUUAAUUCCGCGGCCUCCCGAGAUAAAUCCUGGUGCUCAUGGCCUCUCGAGAUAAGUUCUUGUGCUCACAUUGCUUGAACGACUAUCGAACAAUUUCGACUGCCCGGGAUGGGCUUCCGGGCUAUGAUGCUGCAGCGCUGGAAACAACACCGGGUUUCCAAAUAUGAAGUCGAUGGUGCCGUAAAUGUCGCACUCGCGGUAAAACUUGUCAAAUAUAAAAAUGUUUAAAUACCGUUCUUUAACAGUUUAAACUUUUAGAGGACAACGGUUGUUCACAUAGUAUCAGAGCAGGAAGUAAUUCAAACCCAUGUCAUGAUCCGACCAAAAAAUUCCAAGCUCAGAUGUGAAAGAGAGUGUUAAAUAUAAAAAUAUUUAAAUACCGUUUUAUAAAAAUGUGAGAGGGAGUAUAACGAUUGUUUCACAAAACUCCCGUUGACUCAGAGGGCCAGGCCGACGAGGCCGCGUUCACUCGGAGGGCCAUAGCCUGGCCGGCCCUUUGCUGGCCCAGCUGUGUUUCGAGAGCUAAGAAGCCUUGCCCAGAAACUGCUGCGCAAUAGUUGCUAACGUAUUAUAAAGUAUGAAGUUAAUUAUAUGUAAUUUACUUCUAACUGCUAUCAAAACGCGUAGUUAGCAAAAUAGCAAAACGCGUAGCAAAAUAGCAAAACAAGAAACGUUAUAUGUAACUUACUUCUAACUGCUAUCAAAACGCGUAGUUAGCAAAUAGCAAAACAAGAAGCUAUUAAUCUGAGGUUCACGUGACUAAACUAGAUCAGAUAUAUUUCUAUUUAUUUAUUUAACUACAUUAAAGGUGGUUUGUUUAAUUUUUAAUGUAAUAUAUAUAUAUAUAUAUAAAAUUUAAAAUUUUGAUACUUUCAAAUUUUAAAGUUUUAAAUUUAAAAUUUUAUAUUUAAAUUUUAAAUUUUAAUUUUAACUUAUAAUAUUUAUUUUUAAGUUUUAAACAUCCAAAUUUAAAAUUUUAAAUCUCUAAACUCUAUAAAAUUAAUUAAUUAAUUAAUUAUAUUAAUAAUUAAUUAUAUAUAGUAUAAUUAAAAAAAUUUAUUUGUAAGUAUAGUUUUCGUUUUGUCAUGUGGGUGCCAGCACGGUGGGGAGGAAAAAAAAAGUGAAAAUAGUGAAUGGUCACCGCAUUCGUCAAAUUAUUUACGACUUAUAAAAGUGGUAAGUGGUUCAUCACUUUUAAAAAUAGCAUACAAUGACAGAAUGGGAGAGAGAAUGAGAGUAAAAAUUAAUAAAGGUGGUGAACAGACCACUGUCUUUAAAAUAAUUUUUUGAUUUUAAGAUGUGCUAUAAAAGCGAUUAAUGAUUCGUCGCAUUUAAGAGGCCGUUAGGUUGGAUAUAGUUACAAAAAGUGUAAUUGUUGGAAGUAUAUGCUGUUGCAAAUGCUGUAACCAUAAUUACGUCUAAUCUGUUUGGUUUUAUGUAUUUACAACUGUUGCAGUUACAUUUCUUCUGUUUGGUAGGUUGUAAAUUGAGAUUUGAAUUUGUAAAUUCUGUUAAUUUUUAAAUAGAAAGAUGAGAUUAUCUCUUCUGAAUAUAACGUAAUCAUGUUUUAAUUAUUAAUUAAGAAUUUUAUAUCUAUAUAUAAUUUAUAUAUUAUAAAAUUAUAUAUGAAUUUAAUAAAUUUUAAAUGCAAACAUAUUAUAGAUUUCGUCAAGACAAAAAUUAAAAUAUUAUUAAACUAUGAAAAAAAAAUCACACUUUAUUUUUUUUUAAUAGGCGAGUCGAUUCAAGUCCAACAACUGCAGUUGGUUUGGCUGCAGUACCAACUGCAGCAAUUGGGCUUUUUCUUGUAAAUGCAACUGCAAUAGUUGGACCUAAUUAUACCAAACCAAAUAAAAAUUUAAUAGAUGCAUAUAUUUUCAACUGCAGUUGAAAAUGUAUGUAAUAAAACAGCCCCAAAACGCGGUAAUUCAUUUAUUGUUUAUAUUAUUUAUUUUUAAAAAAAUUUAAUAUAGCAUAUUAGAGGUAUAUUUUUAUAAUUACUUUUUUACAAAAAUUAUUUUUGUAAUCCUAAAAAUUGGUAGGAUCAUUUCUAAAAAAAAAAAAUAGUUUAUUUUGCCUUUCCUUUCCAGCUUUGUUACAUUUAUUAAUGUACCUUUAUGUCCUUUCUCUUGAAUGUUUAACAGAUACUUCUGUUGGGUCUUGGUUUCUUUUGGCUUUCAUUUCACUUUUCUUGCUAUCUUGCCUCUCUCUAUAGUUUUGAAAUACAAUUGCCCAUAAUUGUUCAUCUUUUCUUUUUCCUUUUAUUUUAGAUUUUGCUGGAACUUUAUUUACCUGUUUCUCUUAUAUAUAUUUUUUCAGUUUUUUUUUCAGUUAUUAAAAUUUUACUUUAGCUGGAAUUGCCUAUAAAGUUUUAUGCUUUCACUUAUAUGUUUCAAUAAUUACUCUCGUAAUUUUUCAUGUUUUUCAUUUCAUCGAACUUUGUUACGUAAUGCUUCUCAGUUUCUACUACCAUUUGUAAUCGGUUCUGGAUCUUAUCUUAUUUGGCAUCUCUUUUUUUCCCCCUCCCUUUGUGAAACUAUUGCAAGGUAAUUAAUCCCCACAUAUAAUAAAGCUUAAGAUGAAUCACAUGAACCAUUAUAAGGACCCAAAAUUGGCAUGUAAUUACCAGGAUAAUAUAUAUGGUGAAGAAUACACACAAAAAAAAGAAAAACCAAUUUCACAAACCUUCACAGUUAACCAUCUUUUCUAACAUUUGUAGUCAUAAACAUCUUAUACCAUUAAACCUGCUGUGUACUUCACACCAGUAGAGGGUAACCACAAGUUGCCGUCGAUAAACUGCGCCACCGUGAAGUUGACGGCCUGAGCCGAGCUGUUCAUCGCGUGGUAACCUGGCCACUUGACCCGGCCGCCCAAACCUGAGCCUGGUCCAAAGUUCAUGUACUCGCCAUAAAACAACGUGUCGAGCCCGAAUGUUCCAUUCCAUUCGAGCCACCCUUCGGGUCUGAUCACGUUACCGAUGUACGACUGCAUUAUUACCGUUCUCGAGUACUCCUUCCACGGUCGACCCAAGUACGUGUAGGUCUGGUUCGUCGUCGCAUUCGCUAGGAAUGUAGCAGACAAGUCCGAGUCGGCUGACACGUUGCAGAAUUGGAGGGCAAAUCCGGUGUUUUGGUUCGGGUCCUUACGGCCGUGGGCUGUGACGGAGUUCUUCUGAUCCGGGAGGGGUCGACGCACGAAGAUCUGGCAGUUUUGGAAGACGGCAGCAGCAUUGCCGAAGAUGAAGUCGACGGUGCCAGAAAUCCGACAGUCGCGGUAGAAUUGGCGCAGGGAGUGCGCGUAGAGAGUGUCCUGAUAGCCUUCGAAACUGCAACGGUAGAACGCUGAGAGGUCCGAGUCCGACCGCAGCGCCACCGCCUGGUGCUUCGUCGGUCCUGCGGUGUUCUCGAUCGUCAGGUCGCGAGCAAUGAAGCCUUUGCCAGAUACGGCUGCACAUAGCAAAUCAGAAACAAGUAAACAAAACAUUUUAAAUAUUAAAUUUUUAUCCAACUGCAUUAAAUCUGAUCAGUAAUUUUAAAAUUUUAAAUUUACUUUGCGCGUCAAAAUUUUAGUACACCAACCAACAAUUACUUCAAAAGGAAAUGCGUGUGCAUGUGAGGUUGUACAUGUCUGUACAAUCACUGGAUUUUUUUUAUGGCAUUAAAAUCGAUCCCAUCCGUCCAUCAGACAAACAGUGAGGAUGUACAGUGUAUAAAUUAUUAUCUAUUUACACGGUGUUACGGUGCUCCAUAUCGUCGGUGAAUAUAUUAUUAUAUAUUUAGUUGGGAACAAUAUGGACACAAAAAUUAAAAAAUCCAAACCCAAAAAAAAUUAAAAAGAAAGAGAGAAAAAAAAAUCCGGUGAGAAAAGACGAGAUAAUGCGAGUCCCAAGGAAUCCGUAAAGCCACUGUGGUCCCCACGCGUACUGCUAUUUUUGGAUACUUUAAAUUUGACCCAUAGGAUUCACGGGGACCAAGUUUUACCUAUUAAAAUACUUUACAAAAUUACUAUUAUUUAUUUAUUGAUUAAUUUAUUUAUUGAUUUAUUUAUUUUAUAAGUUGUUUUUGAAGGUCUCAUUCCAAAUAUCCCUUCCAUAUAUAGUUAUUAUUAAGUUUUUUUUCUAAGUGUUAAAUUAGUUACUAAAAUGACAAUCAUUAGACUAAAAACAUAGAAUUAUAAUCUUACUAAUGAUUGCUGACUUAAACAGGUCAUUUUGCCAUAUGGCGAAAUGUCAAGAUGGACUGAAUCACGUUCCAAAUAAUGUGAGAUUGGUCAAGUCAAGUCAUAUUUCAAGUGAUAUAAAAUUGGUUGGAUCAAAUUACAAUCGAGAUUCGUAGGUAUUGAAUUGAUUGUCUAUUUUGAGUAGGUCAAGUUUUUAGAAUUAAUGAUUAGCAUCAACUAACAGACAGUGAUGUCUAAUAAUUCUAACCAAAUUACACUAAGUUGAUGUAUAAAUGUAAACUUAGACAAAAUUUUGACUAAUCAAAAUUUUAAUAUAAAAAUGAAAAAAAGUACUGUAAUCAAUGAAUUAUUUAUGAUCAGAAGAAUCUUAGUUGAAAGAGACAGAGAGAGAGAGAGAGAGAGAGAGUGACUGACCGACAGUGGCGCUCCUGAAAGUCGUCCAGCCGUCGAUGAAAUUGCGACUGCCGGUGAUGACCGUCUGCCCCAUGCCAUCGCCCACCAGCAUUAAGUUCCACUUCUUCUUCUUCACGUCCACAUUCUCUCUGUACACCCCCUUCUUCACGUAGAUCACGUACCUCUUCUCGCUCUCCAGCGGCGCCGCCUCCACCGCCGCCGUCACGGUCGUGUAGUUCCCGCUCCCGUCCUGCGCUACCACCGCAUCAGGCGCGAACGCUGAACUAGCAGAUUGGAGAAUUCUCCGCCGCGCCCCCGGUGUCACCCAAUUCGGAAAUCCUUCCACUAGUUUUCGACCGUUGCCGCCGCCGCCGCCACCGCCGGAUGCGGCUGCAGCGAUUUCGGACAAGCCUUCGCCGACGAGGGACGUGAUCAGCUGGAGCCCGCCGGAGACCAGCGAGCCCAGGAUGGAAUCAGUGCCGUCGAAGCCCUCAGUGCAUGUGUCCUGAUCACGCCGCAUUAAAAAAUAUAAAUAUAUAUAUAUUAAAAUACUGUUUUAUGGCAACUUAAACAACGGCCUAGAUAGUAAGUAUUGAGUUAUAUGAAAUAACUAUUUUUUUAAAAAUUUAAAUUAUCAAAAAAUAAUACUUUUAAUAUUUAAUAGAGGUAAGAUAUGAAUUUAAAUUAUAUAAAAAAAUUAAAUAAUACUAAAAAUCUGAUUUUAAGAUCUUCUAUUUUAAUAUCACAUAUAAAAUAAAUAUAAAAUAAUUUAAAAAAAAAAAAAAAGAUUAAGCUAUCACGUACUGCAUUUUUAGUAUUAUUUAAUUUUUUUAUAUAUAUUUAUAUAUAAAGUAUUUUAACACAAGAUUAUCGAUCGAUCGGGUACAGGAGUAUUUAUAUGUAUGUACUAUGUAAGGUGACUCUAUCGUGUCGUCUGACCCAAACCGUGUUUUUUCGUGGUCGUCGAGGUAUUUCGAAGGAUAUAUUUGUGGGUUGAGGGGGAUGGUAGGAGAGGAAUUAAUAUGUAUUGUAAUAUAGUACCGAGGAGGUGGGGGAGAACAACAUUAAUAAGAGGACGAAUGAGAGAAGGAAUAAGAGAGGGGUCGGGAUAGGGAGGGUCGACGAGGGAGAAGAAGAAGAAGGAGGCGGAAGCUUGGCCUUAAGCACGACAGCAGCAGCGACGACAGCUGCGAGGCUAGGUGCCGCCUGCUCUAGCCCUCCCACCGCAGCUACCACAGCAGCAAGAGGCCGUACUAGCCGCCGCCGCUGGAGGCGGAGAGGAGGCGGCAGAGGCUGACGGAGCUGGAGGAGCUGGAGAGGAGGCUGCUCGAGAGGACCUGGUAGAGGCGGAGGGUCUCGUGGUCGUCGUCGUCGUCGUCGUUGUGGUUGUCGCCUCCGCCUCCGCCUCCACCUCCGCCGUGGCCCUUGGCGGCGAGGCUGGAGGCGAGGACCGAGUCGCGGCGGGAGCCGUUGGUCCACGCACGGGUGUUAUUGGCAAUGAGAGAUUUUCGAAUUCGUCGGUAGAGGAUAGGAAUCGCGUUUAUCGCUUUUUGAAUCAUCAACUAUAAGCUCUAAGGUUUAAAGUUAAGAACAACUAAAUAUAAAAGUUGAUUCAAAUAAAAACUUUUUUUUAUCUGCUUCGUCAUCGAUGAGAGAUAAAGUCAAAGCGCCCGUUUUUAUGGAAGGCACGUCAUUGUUUUUUUUCACUAAUUUUUAUAUAUAUUAUUCUAUUUUAAAAAACACUAGGGCGGUUUUUAGCUUUUUGGAAAGAGUAUCACAAUCCAUCAAAAGCGAUAGGUUAUUUGAAAUAAGUUGUAAAAAAACAAUGNCAUAAUCAAAAAUUUGAUUUUUAUAAGGGACCAUUUGAUUAAGAUAUAAUUACAAAUACAGUUAAAAAUGUAGCAGUUAUAAUUAUAUAUAUCUUAUUUGAUUUGAUGUAGUAGAAAGUGUUGUAGCUAUAAAUAAUUUAUUUCGCUGAAUGCAGUUUGAUAAAUAAAUUUUAAAAUUUUAUCAUUGUAUAUAUAUAAUGGUAAGAUUAAUUACUCUAAUAUUGAAAAAAUAUAUUUUUAUUUAAAAAAUAAUUAAGAAUAUAAGUUUAUCUUUAAUUUGCUUAAAGUUACGCUCUCCAAUUGUUGCAGUUGAGCUUCCUUCUGCAGUUUCUACUACAGCAGUUUGAGUUAAAUAUAUCAAAUCAAACAACAAAUUUGCAUUUACAUAUAAUUAUAACUGCAGUACAGUUGUAAUUAUAUGCAACCAAACAGUCUCUAAGAAUUGUGUUAGCAUACAUUAUUUGAUAAUACAUGAGUAAUAUUUAUUAUCAAUAUUUCUAUCAUUAAAUUAUUGUUAUUUCAUCUGCCUCCACUAAAUUUUAGAUAUUUAAUUGCCAACUUUUUGAUAAUGAAUAUUAUUUCAUACCUUAUUCUAUCUUGACUAUUUUUAUAAUUAUCUUAUAUUUCUGUAUUUGGUUUAAUAUAGUAAUAUAAUAGGCAAGUCAUUGCUGAGCUAAGAACGAAGAAUUAGUUGAGUGCAGGAUGGAGAUCUCUCUGAUUGAAAUGAAGUAGUGAGAAAAUAUUUUUGAGAGAAACUAAUCCUCUAAGCUAUUAAUAAUUCUGUAUUGCCGAAAAUACUACAUGUGAAUAAACAAAAUAUAAUAAUUUUAAAAAUUUUCUGCAGUAUAUAACAUAAACAGAGUAUGCCUUAAGAUUCUAAGGUUUUGUGGAAAAGCUUUUCAUACAAUUUUUUCUUUCCAUUUUUAUGUAUUUGUAUUUUAAUUUUUUUUGUGAGAAAAUUAUCAAAUUCUUAAUCAAUUAAGUUCGCUAGGUGUCGUAGGUACUAAUUAUUAUUGAAGGCUUUUAAUAUAUAUAUAUAGAGUGAGGCUACUAUGCUAUCGGAAGCACGGAGCCUUCCGUGCUUCCAACUCGUUUUCGAUGUUGCGACUUUCGAAUCGUCGAUCGGCUCCGUUAAACUUGAUCUAGAGUAUUUGAAGUACCUAGAAAAUAAAUUUUAUUAUUUUUUGAUAUCAUUUGCCUAGUGAUCGAAUGAGCUCAAAAUCAACAAAUUUUAAUGGCCGUAGUGAGCUGUUUGCAAGUUUAACGGUGUAGAAAUAUCCAAAUCACGUGAAAUUUUGAUAGAAAAUUCUUUAUACUAUAUAAAACAAGAUCAAUAUCUUUGAUUUAAAAUUUUAAUUUCAUAAUUAUUACAUUUUGUAAGAUUUUUAUUUUCAGCGUUGAUUUAGCCCCUUCGUUCACUAGGCAAAUGAUAUCGUAAAAUCAUAAAAUUUAUUUUCUAGGUAUUUCAAAAUCUCUAGAUCAAGUUUAACGGAGCCAUUGACGAUUCGAAAGUCGCAACAUCGAAAACGAGCUGGAAGCACGGAAGGUCCGUACUUCCGGAUAGCAUAGUAGCCUCACUAUACUAGAUAUAUAUAUUAUUAUAUAUAUAUAUAUAUAUAUAUUAUAUAAUAUAUAUUAUAUAUAUAUUAUAAUAUAUAUAUGCUUUAUUAGAGAUCAUGGUUUUGGCAUGUUAUAUUUGCAUUAUUAGUUGAUAAUAGUUACCCAAUUAUUAUUUUUUUUAUGAACCUAGCUAUCUAUUUACGCGAACACUCUACAAAAUAAUCAUAUCAUGGAUUUCUCUAUUUAAUUAUGAGGAUUAUUCAUCUGAUCAAAAAUAUUCAAUUUUUUUUUCUAUUUUCCACAUUGAGUUCUAACUAUUUUCUUUUUUAUAUUGAAUCUUUAAUAGCUAUUUGGUUUGUGUGUUUCAAUAGAGUUUUUUCUAUCAAAAUAUAUAUACGUAUUAAUUCAAACAAAUAUUAGAAACUACUUAUUGCCAAAAGGAUCCAAACCUAUUAAUUAAUUCUUUAUUUUUUAUUUUUUUUUUAUUUUUUUCUUUAUUGGAUGAAUGGAAAUUGUUAGCUGUGACGCAGAGAUAUCUUAUUUAUCUUUUUCCCUAAAAUAUACCUUCAAAGAAAGCGACAUUUCAUAUUAAUAUUGUGGUACUUAACAAUUUAUCGAAUUAUAGGCCACAAAAAAGUUUGACACUAAAUGAUGUCUCAAUUAUUUUAUCUUUUAACAUUUUUUAUAAUUUAUUCUUUAGAGAAAAAGAACGUGCUAUUUAUUUUAUUUAUUUUUUAAAAAUUAAACUAAAUUAUGAAAUAAAGUAAUUAGUCUUCAAACUUCGUUAAAUAUUUUACCACUUGCGCUAUGACCAAUCAAUAUAUUUUAAUAUCUUAUUGUAUCUUUUAAUCAAUCUGAUUAGUUGUUGGUGUUGUUCGUCAGUGAAAAUGUUUCCUUAAUUUUUGGCUAAUUAAAAAGCCAGAGAUUGUUUUAAUUGUUCGGCGAAAUCAUAUUCAAGGUAUGGAAAAGUUUAAUUAGUCGCAAGCAAAAUUUUUGUAAACUACUAAUUAAAAUGUUAUGUCACAUUCGAACUAUAGAUUCAAAGUAUGGGUUUAGGAUUUAGGAGUUAAAAUUUAGAAAGGAUUAAUUAAUUACAUUAAUCAUGAGAUACGUACACAUUAUUUAUUAUGAUGUUGUACGAGAGAGGGUUGUGGGAUCUACCCCUUGUGGGAGACAAAAUCACAUGUAAUGUUGCAAAUUUGGUGGCUUGUCACCCUUAUUUAUUUGACCAGUUCAAAUUAGAUUUUGCACAUGAAAUUUUUAGAAUUUAAUUUGAAAAUCUCAAAAAUAACCUCCAUAUGAUUUGUAAUGUUCAAAUUCAAAUCAAUUAAAACAAUGGAUUGCUAUUAUGCAUUCUAUAUUUUGCGUACUGAGUUGUGAAAAAGAGCGUCCAUAUAAAUCGAUAUUGUAUGCUUAUAAAAAAAUAAAAAAUUAAAAAAUAAUUGUUAUUUUUCAAAAGUUUGAGCCGUUCGAAUGAUUCUCUUUCUCACGUCUCAUGCCAAUAUGCGGAAUAAUAAAAUAGGAUAAAAUUAAAUAAAGUUAAAAUCUAAUGGGAUUCAUUGAAAUCUUAUACUAUAUACAAAAAAAAUAAAUUAAACAUUUAUUUGUUCUAAAAUUUUAAACUGUCAAAAAAUAUGUCUAAAUCUUAUAAUCUAGUCUUUGAAAGACUAAAAUUUAAUCACUUGUCUUAUUAUUUUUUUUAAUACUAAAAUUUGAAUGAGAAUUUUAAAUCUUUAAGUUAUUGUGUACAUUGUUUUUCAUUCAAAGGAGCAGGAACUCCAAGCUCCACACAUUCAAAUCAAUAUUUUCAUGCAGUAAUAAAAGACACAUUCAAAUCAAUAUUUUCAUGCGGUAAUGAAAGAGAGAGAAAUGAUGAAGAUUUGCUCAGUAUCUAAUCUAGUUACCGCAAAAAUAGAUAGAAAUUAUUUUAAAAAAAGAAAAAACUUUUAUUUGGGAGAAAAUUUGGCUCGCAGAGGACGGAAAAUCAUAUCAUAAUUAAAACCAAGAUAAAAUUAAGCAACAUUAUAUAUAUAUAGAGAGAGAGAGAGAGAGAGUAAUUAAUGCUACUAUCCUCUUAUGAAUAUAGAAUUCUUCGUACUCGUAAGUUAUUUUUAAUGAUAUAACGAUUUAGAAUAUUUGAACUUCUAAAAAAUAAAUUUCGUAAUUUUUUGAAAUCAUAAUGAAAUCCAUCAAUUGGGCAUAAAAUGAACGGUCAAAAUUGAAUGACGUUCUAAAAUAAAUGAUCGGAUCCUUCAAUUUAAGAUCGGAGUUAUUUAUCAUUAUCUAGGUAAUGAAUAAAAUUUUUUAUAAAAAAUUCAACUAAUUCCGAUUCUUUUGUACUGUUAAACUAAUAAGUAUUUCAUACCGGCCGUUAAAAAUUGUCAAUUUUGAAGUAUUUUGAUCGCAAGAUAAAUAAUAUCAAAAACUAUAAAAUUUAAUUUUUAAAAAUUUUAAAUGCUCUAGAUAACAUUUAGGGCCCGUUUGGUUCGAGUUAUGUAAUAUUAUAAAGUAUCUCGACAUAUCCAGGUAUCUUGGAUUUCGGCGUGAGAUUACUACUGAUGCUGCAUUAGAGUGUUUGGUUUAAUACAGUAAUGUAAUACUAGAUUAUAGUGUUUAUAGUAUUAAUAUGUUUGGUUUAGUUUAUAAAAUUUAGAAAUCCUGACAUAAAAGUAUAGUUUUUUUCAAAAUUGCCCUUGUUGUGGUCAUUUGAAUAUUAUUUUUUGCGAAAAUGACGAAUGGAGGGAAGGAGAUCGUGAUGAUUACUUGGGAGGACGACGCAAUAGAAGAUGAUAGGUGUACGUGCGCGCGCGCGAGAGAGAGAGAGAGAGAGAGAGAGAGACGUCGAGAGAGAGAGAGAGCGAGAGAAAGCGGCGUGCAAGAGAGAGGGCCGGGGGGAAGGCGAGAGAGAUGAAAAUAAUGCUGUUAAUUAGAUUUGGGGUUGUUGGAGGGUAAAAUUGUCAUUUUACAUAAUAGGUAGUAUUAACGGAUUUCAGUAAUGCAAGAUACACGAUCCCCCUCUCGUUAAUAUUUUCGAUGUAAUCCUACUCGAUUUGUAAUGCUAUAUUAACGACUAGAUUAUAUAGCGGAUUAACCAAACACAGUUAUCCUGGCAGGAUUGCCUGUAAUCCUGCUAGGAUAACUCCAACCAAACGCAUCCUUAACGAUAUGGAUCGUUAAUUUCGAAGCUCUAUUAUUGAAAACAACUUAUGAGUAGGAAAGCGAUCGUACUCGUAAAGUAUAGUAUAGCGGGACUCUCUCUCUCUCUAUAUAUAUAUAUAUGUUACGAAA
rnacentral:lncRNA from 1 species